AAAUAAAUAAUGUAAACUAACAUAUUAUAAUUUCAUUAUAAAAAUGCCAAAGGUUUUAUUUU
rnacentral:tRNA from 1 species